GGGGUUGUGGCUCAGAGGAAGAGUGCUCGCCUAGGUUGCGUGAGUGAGACCCUGGGUUCAAUCCACAGCACCACA
rnacentral:tRNA from 1 species